AACCUUUGUAGGGUUUUAAGUCAGAUGUUUGGAUGUCCAUGCACUUGCGUGACCUGUGCCUCCCACAAACCUUGUUACAAGAUGGGCACAUUACCUGUCUGAUG